CUGCCCCUUGAGAAGGUGAGCUGGCACCUUCCUGCUGCUGCCUGAGCGUGCCAGCAGUGCUUGGUGCUUCCAGGGUGCUUUAUCUCUGCUGAGCACAGCAAUGGGAAUGGGCCCAAUUAUCCUGCUUUACAGCAGUGCAGGAGAUAGAUGAGAGCUGAUGUGCCAAAGGCUGAGCUCCGACGCAAUGGGGAGAGCUAGAGCCAGGCAAAGAACCUCUUGCUCCAAGCCUGGUGCCUCUGAGGGGCUUCUUGGUGUCUGCCAUGUGGAGCUGCAGGGAGAUUCCAGCUGGAUUCAGGGAAUUGCUGCACUUUCCAGCCAGGCAUUGGGGCCCCUGGCAAGGAUCUGAAACUCUUUUGCAGCCUAAUAGCAUGUACCUGCAGCAGAGCUAAACCUGCUCAAGCAGAAGUCAACUGACUUAACCAGCCUGGGAAUCUCCAGAGCUCCAGGAGUCCAAAGGUGUUUUGGCUGUAAACCCCGUCCUUACCAGUUCCAGACCAGCUCCAAUGUGUUCAGUCCCUGUUCCCAGAGCACGUGGAGAUAGUGGCUCCCUCCUAUUGCUAUUCCCAAAGCUUCCAGAGCAGUGAGGAUCACAAACCUGUAGGAACCAUUGUUUGUAAGGAAUAUUGCACUAGGCCUCGCUGGAAUGCUGCUGUGUGCCCGGGAUCAACCAGCAUGGAGAAACCCUCCUCCAGUUGUAUUUCCUUGAGGAGCAAGUGGGCAACAGAGCCUGGAGCACAAGUCUGAGGAGGAAUGGCUGAGGGACCUGGAGAAGGCUCAGGGGGAUGUUAUUGCUCUCUACAACUACCUGACAGGAGGUUGCAGUAAGGUGGGAUCAGUCUGUGCUCCCAAGGAACAAGGAAUGGGACAAGAGGAAACAGCCUCAAGCUGCAUCAGGGCAGGUUUAGAUGGAGAUUUGGAACAAUUCCU